rnacentral:rRNA from 1 species
UACGUAGGGUGCGAGCGUUGUCCGGAAUUAUUGGGCGUAACGAGCUCGUAGGCGGUUUGUUGCGUCGGCCGUGAAAACCUGCAGCUUAACUGUGGGCCUGCGGCCGAUACGGGCAGACUUGAGUUCGGUAGGGGAGACUGGAAUUCCCGGUGUAGCGGUGAAAUGUGUAGAGAUCGGGAGGAACACCGGUGGCGAAGGCGGGUCUCUGGGCAAUUCCUGACGCUGAGGCGCGAAAGCGUGGGGAGCAAACAGG